CCUACGGGUGACAGCAGUGGGGAAUAUUGGGCAAUGGGCGCAAGCCUGACCCAGCGACGCCGCGUGAAGGAAGAAGUCUUUCGGGUUGUAAACUUCUUUUGUCAGGGACGAAGCUAGUGACGGUACCUGACGAAUCCGCCACUGCUUACUACGUACCAGCCGCCGCGGUAAUACGUAGGGGGCCAGCGUUCUCCGGUUUUACUGGGUGUAAGGGGCGUGUCGGUGGGACUGCAAGUCAGUUGGGAAACCCACGGGCUCAACCGGGGGCCUGCAGUUGAAACUGUAGUUCUUGAGUUGUGGAGAGGCAGACGGAAUGCGUAGUGUAGCGGUGAAAUGCGUAGAUAUUAGGAGGAACACCAGUGGCGAAGGCGGUCUGCUGGACAGCAACUGACGCUGAGGCGCGAAAGCGUGGGGAGCAAACAGGAUUAGAUACCCUUGUAGUC
rnacentral:rRNA from 1 species